rnacentral:rRNA from 1 species
GCAUAAUCAUUAGUCCUGUAAUUUAGGACUGGAAUGAAUGGUUUAACUGAAUAACCAUGUCUUAUUAUUAUACUUCAAACUUUAUAUUUUAGUAAAAAAGCUAAAAUUUAUAUUAAAGACAAGAAGACCCUAUUAAGCUUUAUAAUUGUAAUUUAACAUCAAUAUAAAUUAAAAAUUAUUUUACUGGGGCAGUAAACAAAAAAAAUUUCGUUUAUAUAAUAUGAAUUCAAUUCUUGAAAAAUCAAAAAGUUUUUAAAAAGAAACAAGUUACUAUAGGGAUAACAGCAUAAUUUUCUUAAAGAGUUCUUAUUAUCAAGAAAGUUUGUGACCUCGAUGUUGGAUUAAGAAACCUAUUUUAUGCAACAAUAAAAUUAAGGAAGUCUGUUCGACUUUUAAACUC